GUUUCGCGCCAGUCGGGUCGGAUAGACGUGGUGUGAAGCCGUCCCGUGUUUUUCGCAUUUUUUUAUCCGGCAAAAGUACAUCGCGUGUGCAAAAAUGUGUCGGGAGUGCCGCGGAAGCUGCCGGGCGAUCGUUGUAGCAGAUUAAUCGUUAUGCGCGAACGAAAUUCGCUGCAUUUUUCCGACAUUCGUAUUCAAGCGAGUGAGAGCUCUCGAUUGAAGUUGUGCGGUACAGUCUCGACGAGAAGUUUCGCACAGCGACACCUGCGGUACCGUCCGAUAUGAGACUUGGAAAAAGAAACAAUUGCUAAUCCAGCAUUAGUUAAUUUGAAUUGUUGGUGGAAACAAGACGAGAUAUCGUGAUCUGGUUAGAAAGCUCGGAUUCGCACGUCCCUGAAGAACUCCAAAGACCCCUGUCGAGGAAACUUAAUUGUUCGGCCGGUGACAAGAGCGAUUUUAUGAAUGGCGUGACGAGUCAACGAACGACAUAAAAAGCGGUGAACGUGCGACGGGGGGUUAAUUUCCUAUACUGGACGUAUCAUCUGCUGGCAAAAAUGUCGGAAUUUUCCCUCCAAGUGUUUCCACCCCGUCGUCGCGUCGUUCUUUCUCGCUAUUCUUCUCGCUUCGCCGCGCGAGCGAGGACGCAUCGUUCAUCCUGAUCGUCGUGAUUCCCUCCCGAGGGGGUUUACGUAUGCCGGACGCAGUUUGGCGCCGAUUCAUCAAAAAGACCACCCACCCGUUUUUCGCCAUUUAAGAAAAGUGCCGCCAGUCUCUCUCUUAUCCUGGUAAAAAGGAGGGCGGUGGCAGCAUCGUUAGAGGCAGAUUCGCCCUUACCGAGGACUAGGAUCACGAAACGAUCGGGACGCGGAGGAAGAGGGGGAACACACUGCUUUACCCUUCCCCUGUGAUAGAGGUGUGCUCGAGAGGGCAUCCGGAGAUUGGAGUUUGCUAGCGAGCCAACUAUCGUUUCCCCGCGUCUCGUCCCCGCCGUAUCUGCGACGACGACGACAACGACGACGAGGACGACGUUGCGGCCGAAUUGUCCGCAGAAAAUUGUCUGUCGGAUGUUAGACGCCCCGCAGCGGAAGUUUCUUGGUAACCGUUACGAAGAAACGUAACAUACUCGUGACAAUGAUGAGUAGUGGACACGUCCAAUACGAAGCGCGAUUGUGUCUGGAAAUACUUUCUUCAUCGUUACCAUUCUCACGAUGUUGGACAUUUACCUAACGUCAGCAGUAUAAGAGAUAUCUACAGGGUGGCACUACCAACAUAACUGAGAAUCUCCUUCGCAACUCUGAUCGACAAAGUUCCUUCUGGCGGUGCCGCGAGCACACGGAUGCGAAAGUUAGCACGAAGUCUACCAGCAUCCCUUUCACCCUCGCGACAGUUCUCUCCUCUCCCUUUCACCCUCUGUUUCUCGCUCCUACACCUCAUGAACACCAUUGCAUACCGUACACACACACACAGACAUACAUAUAUACAUACACAAUUUGUUCCCUUCCUUUUCGCAGGCGAAAGUUCUCUCUCGCACUCGUGCGGCUCUCGUCAUUUUACGAUGCCUUAGGAGACGAGGACGCAAGAUUUCUACUCGAUGGCGGUUACAUACGUUCAUAUUCUUUCACGUGGCUGAACAAUGAUCUCGCGGAAGUUACUUGAGGAGACUUGAAAAAAGCAUCACGUAAAAUUGCGAUAGAUCAUCGUGUCGAGUAAGGUGUAUGUGACUAUGAAAGAUUAACAUGUAAAUAAAAUUCUCAUAAAAAAUUGAGGUCUUUCCCCCAAAUGGGAGAUUCAAAAUCGUCGAAAUUGAUAUAAUUUUGGUGAGAACACUUGAUGCCAUUAAAGAAUGGCAAAAUGGUCUCCGUGUUAAUUUAACAAUUUGACAUUUUCGUUGCGAUGAUUUGAUUGCAGAAUAAAUACACGUUUUACAAAUAAAAGUUUAAUUCAUCGUGAUUAGAUAGGUCAUCGCAUUUUAUCUUUAAAGUUAGAUAACACACACACACUCUAUUAUGUUUUAUUUUUAUAUAUACAUUUAGAGAGAGAUAUUCUUGUAAGAUGACAAAGUUUAAGAGUUACUUUGAUCCCGAUAGAUUGAAAAAAUUAUCUCGUAUAUAAGUAAAUACGGCGAGGCCGUAUUUUCAGCGAGUUUUCAGAUAAUUUUUGUUUUAAAACCACGGCACUUCUCGCGUAAAUAACGUCUGAUCAAAGUUCGAGCGAGAUCAAAGUAAGAAACACAAUUCGCACUGAUAGCAAUGAUCGCUGGCGGAUGGUCCCUUUCGCGUGAGAUCUUAUUAGAAUCAAUUUCCCCGCACGCGCAAUAUUUCUGCGGCGCGCGUUGUGAUAUCGCCGCAUUAAUCAUACAUCUGCGUGCGAUUCCCGCGUCGAUAUUUCCCAAAGCCUGGUACUCUCGGGGUAUUUAAACCACCGCUUCUCGCUUACUGUCGAUACGGUCCAUGCAUUUUGUACAUGCUAGACCAAGAAAGAAAGAUUCUCUUCCUCACAUAUACUAUAUGCGAGGAAACAAUAAAAUAAAAUUAUUUAGAAAUAAAAUUAGCGGUAGAUAGUCUUACAAAGUACAUUAACCCCUAUUACAUAUCGCAAUAUAUGUAAAAUAAAAACAUUCUCGUUACGUAAUAUACAUGUAUUGAAUAUUAAAUAGGAAUUAUUCUCAAAUACUAUAAAUAUAUAUGAUAUAAAUACUAAAAAUAAUAUGAUUUUAUAUGUAUUCGUAGAUAAAAAUGGAUUGGUCGCUUUCAAUGUAACUACAUUUUGCAUACACACACGCGCGCGUAUAGUUUUUAUUAUUAUACUAUAAAUAUACAACAGGCAUUUUAUUACGUACAUAUAUAUAUCGGGUAUUGGACGCAAUCGCUUUCGCUGUUAUACUACAUUUUGUACACACACACAGAUUCAUCAUUUUUAUUGUUAUACAUAUUAUAUUUAAUGAUACACUAAUUAUUUGUUAAAGGAAGGAAAACAAUAAUUAUAUUGGUAAGUCAAAAUAUAAGAUCAGUGAAAAACCAAAAACUUAUCUAUGUGAUACGAUUGAAAAGAGGCUGCUCGGGAAAUCCGUGGAUUUCUAAAAAGUUGCUAAUAAAUAAUUCAACUGUGCGGAAAUAUUGUCUCAUUUAAUUUAUGCUUUCUUCGAUACCCAGUACAUUUAGUAGAAUAGAUAUAUAUACACAAAAAAUAUAUCCGGAAGAUUAUCAAAAAGUAAAUUUUAAAAAUUUUGAAAGCAGAAGGAUAAUAACCAAGAUAAAUCUCCGAUUAGAAAAAUGUAAAUUCUGGAUUUAAUUUUAUGAGAUAAAGAUAAAGCAUUUGUAAGUAAAUUCAAACUAUGCAAUUUCUUGAAUUAUUUCGAUAUUCCAACCAUUGAUAGUAAUUGCUAGUCUUGUAAUCAAUGAUUUAUUUCGAUUAAACAGUUAAUAAAAACAGAUGAGGAAUGAUAAAAAUACGAAUUUUUAAUUCUUCAUUUGUGUGAACUUACUUAUAUAAAACAAUAUUUCUAUCUUUAAUUGGUUGUGAUAAUAAAUAAAAUUUUAAAGAAUUAUUAACGAAUGUUAUGUUGAGAGGGAAUAAGGGUAAUAUUUAGGUUAUAAGAUGGUUUAAGAAUAAAAUUGUUGUGUUUGGAAAAAAAAGAAUCUCUUGAGCAGGUUUAAUAUAUGGUGGCAAGAGAUGAGACACGAUAGGCACGUGACAUUUUUUUUUAUUAGACGCUCAUGGGUACAAGGUUCUGCUUUUUUCAGACCCAUUAUCUACAUAAACUGAGUGCGCGUUGAUAAUAAUUCACUAUUGCAUUCUCUCGAUUGAAAAUAUAGACUUUCGCGUUUGUACAUAUAUAUAUUUAUAUAUAUAUAUAUAUAUAUACAUACAUACAUAUAUUUUUUCUUUCUCUUUUCUUUAUUUCCGCGAAUGAAUGUUUCACAGGCACUUCGUCUCUAAACAGUGGCAAAAUUUGCAAAUGAUUGGUUUGGCGUAAUGAAAAAUGCGAGAGCGACACGUAUGAAAGUAAACGUCAUCGCAGAAUUUAUCACCGAGGCUUUUAGGGUCACGAGCAAAAUACAGAGAUCUCGCACAAUCAUUUUUUUCUUAUUUUUAUCGCAAUUCGUUUUGCCAGCAAACCUCUUAUCCGAUAUAUGCGAGAUCUUUUACGAUCACAUCGACAACACAUAUUACAAUUAAUCACAGAAAUAGUAGAUUCGACGAAAAUGAUUGCGCCACCUUAUAUACAUUUAACUUAAUUAUUUCUACAGGCAAGCACCUAUUAAGUACUGAUACAUUCGAUCGUUAAGAGUUCGCCGCAAUUGCAAUAAUGAGUUCUUCUUUUCGUCAUCGUCACAUUUUAUAUACAUAUAUAUAUUUUUUUUUCUUUUUUGACGAGUGAGUUAUCAGAUUGUAGAACUUUUCGAUGCCUGAAUUCAUGUACAGGUUAAGAAGAUGCAAGCGAAUCAUAUAAACUCACGAAUGUAAAAUUGCAAAAAAAUUUGUCGAUGUUACAAAAAAAAAA